AAAAAAUAGUCAACGGACGACUAAAAAAUUGUAUAGAAGAGCAAGACUGAUCCCCACACACAAAAAACAAAACAAGAAAAGAAAGAAAGAAAGAAAAUUAGAUGAUAGUUUCACAAGCUUCGUUGGUUUUGAUUACCAGUCUCGGCCGACAUAAACGAAUGUCUUAUAUGCUUCUCUAGAUGAAACCGACCAACCUUUUGGCUUUUUCCUUAAGUUUUCAACUAGCAUUGUAAGAUGUUCGCCGGGUCUAAAAAGGAUUCAUACUUAACGGAGAGAUGGGCCAUUUGAUUGGAUCCGUCAAAGAAUUUCCUGGUCUUUUCUUUUUUUUUUUAAUUCUUUUUCAAUGCUACGGGACACAAAUAAAUUGAAAAAAAAAGAGAAUAAGAUGUCACGAUUCAAGACCUUAUUCAAAAUGGCUAGUCGGAAGGUAUUAUUUGAGUUUCUUGAUCCUGUAUAAGUACCCAAGAUUUCUUCGGCAAAUAACCGAUGUGAGACUCAACAAACACACCCGCACCCGCACAGGUCUUCACAUACUCUCCCGUUCAAGCCCUGAUGUUCUCGUCAGG
rnacentral:lncRNA from 1 species